rnacentral:rRNA from 1 species
UACGUAGGGGGCUAGCGUUAUCCGGAAUUACUGGGCGUAAAGGGUGCGUAGGUGGUUUCUUAAGUCAGAGGUGAAAGGCUACGGCUCAACCGUAGUAAGCCUUUGGAACUGGGAAACUUGAGUGCAGGAGAGGAGAGUGGAAUUCCUAGUGUAGCGGUGAAAUGCGUAGAUAUUAGGAGGAACACCAGUUGCGAAGGCAGCUCUCUGGACUGUAACUGACACUGAGGCACGAAAGCGUGGGGGGCAAACAGG